rnacentral:rRNA from 1 species
CGGGACACGUGGUAUCCUGUCUGAAUAUGGGGGGACCAUCCUCCAAGGCUAAAUACUCCUGACUGACCGAUAGUGAACCAGUACCGUGAGGGAAAGGCGAAAAGAACCCCGGCGAGGGGAGUGAAAAAGAACCUGAAACCGUGUACGUACAAGCAGUGGGAGCACGCUUAGGCGUGUGACUGCGUACCUUUUGUAUAAUGGGUCAGCGACUUAUAUUCUGUAGCAAGGUUAACCGAAUAGGGGAGCCGAAGGGAAACCGAGUCUUAACUGGGCGUUAAGUUGCAGGGUAUAGACCCGAAACCCGGUGAUCUAGCCAUGGGCAGGUUGAAGGUUGGGUAACACUAACUGGAGGACCGAACCGACUAAUGUUGAAAAAUUAGCGGAUGACUUGUGGCUGGGGGUGAAAGGCCAAUCAAACCGGGAGAUAGCUGGUUCUCCCCGAAAGCUAUUUAGGUAGCGCCUCGUGAAUUCAUCUCCGGGGGUAGAGCACUGUUUCGGCAAGGGGGUCAUCCCGACUUACCAACCCGAUGCAAACUGCGAAUACCGGAGAAUGUUAUCACGGGAGACACACGGCGGGUGCUAACGUCCGUCGUGAAGAGGGAAACAACCCAGACCGCCAGCUAAGGUCCCAAAGUCAUGGUUAAGUGGGAAACGAUGUGGGAAGGCCCAGACAGCCAGGAUGUUGGCUUAGAAGCAGCCAUCAUUUAAAGAAAGCGUAAUAGCUCACUGGUCGAGUCGGCCUGCGCGGAAGAUGUAACGGGGCUAAACCAUGCACCGAAGCUGCGGCAGCGACGCUGAUGCGUUGUUGGGUAGGGGAGCGUUCUGUAAGCCUGUGAAGGUGUGCUGUGAGGCAUGCUGGAGGUAUCAGAAGUGCGAAUGCUGACAUAAGUAACGAUAAAGCGGGUGAAAAGCCCGCUCGCCGGAAGACCAAGGGUUCCUGUCCAACGUUAAUCGGGGCAGGGUGAGUCGACCCCUAAGGCGAGGCCGAAAGGCGUAGUCGAUGGGAAACAGGUUAAUAUUCCUGUACUUGGUGUUACUGCGAAGGGGGGACGGAGAAGGCUAUGUUGGCCGGGCGACGGUUGUCCCGGUUUAAGCGUGUAGGCUGGUUUUCCAGGCAAAUCCGGAAAAUCAAGGCUGAGGCGUGAUGACGAGGCACUACGGUGCUGAAGCAACAAAUGCCCUGCUUCCAGGAAAAGCCUCUAAGCAUCAGGUAACAUCAAAUCGUACCCCAAACCGACACAGGUGGUCAGGUAGAGAAUACCAAGGCGCUUGAGAGAACUCGGGUGAAGGAACUAGGCAAAAUGGUGCCGUAACUUCGGGAGAAGGCACGCUGAUAUGUAGGUGAAGUCCCUCGCGGAUGGAGCUGAAAUCAGUCGAAGAUACCAGCUGGCUGCAACUGUUUAUUAAAAACACAGCACUGUGCAAACACGAAAGUGGACGUAUACGGUGUGACGCCUGCCCGGUGCCGGAAGGUUAAUUGAUGGGGUCAGCGCAAGCGAAGCUCUUGAUCGAAGCCCCGGUAAACGGCGGCCGUAACUAUAACGGUCCUAAGGUAGCGAAAUUCCUUGUCGGGUAAGUUCCGACCUGCACGAAUGGCGUAAUGAUGGCCAGGCUGUCUCCACCCGAGACUCAGUGAAAUUGAACUCGCUGUGAAGAUGCAGUGUACCCGCGGCAAGACGGAAAGACCCCGUGAACCUUUACUAUAGCUUGACACUGAACAUUGAGCCUUGAUGUGUAGGAUAGGUGGGAGGCUUAGAAGUGUGGACGCCAGUCUGCAUGGAGCCGACCUUGAAAUACCACCCUUUAAUGUUUGAUGUUCUAACGUUGACCCGUAAUCCGGGUUGCGGACAGUGUCUGGUGGGUAGUUUGACUGGGGCGGUCUCCUCCUAAAGAGUAACGGAGGAGCACGAAGGUUGGCUAAUCCUGGUCGGACAUCAGGAGGUUAGUGCAAUGGCAUAAGCCAGCUUGACUGCGAGCGUGACGGCGCGAGCAGGUGCGAAAGCAGGUCAUAGUGAUCCGGUGGUUCUGAAUGGAAGGGCCAUCGCUCAACGGAUAAAAGGUACUCCGGGGAUAACAGGCUGAUACCGCCCAAGAGUUCAUAUCGACGGCGGUGUUUGGCACCUCGAUGUCGGCUCAUCACAUCCUGGGGCUGAAGUAGGUCCCAAGGGUAUGGCUGUUCGCCAUUUAAAGUGGUACGCGAGCUGGGUUUAGAACGUCGUGAGACAGUUCGGUCCCUAUCUGCCGUGGGCGCUGGAGAACUGAGGGGGGCUGCUCCUAGUACGAGAGGACCGGAGUGGACGCAUCACUGGUGUUCGGGUUGUCAUGCCAAUGGCACUGCCCGGUAGCUAAAUGCGGAAGAGAUAAGUGCUGAAAGCAUCUAAGCACGAAACUUGCCCCGAGAU